rnacentral:rRNA from 1 species
UACAGAGGGUGCGAGCGUUAAUCGGAAUUACUGGGCGUAAAGCGUGCGUAGACGGUUAUUUAAGUCGGAUGUGAAAUCCCCAGGCUUAACCUGGGAACUGCAUCCGAUACUGGAUGGCUUGAAUCCGGGAGAGGGAUGCAGAAUUCCAGGUGUAGCGGUGAAAUGCGUAGAUAUCUGGAGGAAUACCGGUGGCGAAGGCGGCAUCCUGGACCGGCAUUGACGCUGAUGAGCGAAAGCUAGGGGAGCAAACGGG